rnacentral:rRNA from 1 species
GACGUAGGGCGCGAGCGUUGUCCGGAUUUAUUGGGCGUAAAGAGCUCGUAGGCGGCUUGUCGCGUCGACUGUGAAAACCCGUGGCUCAACUGCGGGCCUGCAGUCGAUACGGGCAGGCUAGAGUUCGGUAGGGGAGACUGGAAUUCCUGGGUGUAGCGGUGAAAUGCGUAGAUAUCUGGAGGAACACCGGUGGCGAAGGCGGCAUUCUGGACCGAUAUUGACGCUGAGGAGCGAAAGCCAGGGGAGCAACGGG